rnacentral:lncRNA from 1 species
CUUAAGUCUCUCUUUACUAGAACUCCACAGCAGCACAUUAACAUAGAGAGAAAAAAAACAAUCACAAAAAAGUAAGGAAACCAUAUAAGGCCCCUCCCAACCAACUAUUUCCUCUUUCAACCUGCGACAAAACUAAGUACGUGAACAAGAUAUAAUACAAUAACAAUAGAAGAAGAAUCAAACGAAAUUCGUCAAUGACUGUCAUCCGAACUCGUAACGAAAGUGGAUCCGCAGAGGAAGCCUUGAACUGUAUCCUGCAGAACAUCUGGAAACCGGACCUGUAGUGGAACCAUUAAACUGAAACGAGAUAAACAGAAUCGAAACUCUGAUUAGUGAAUGAAAUGUACUGGGAAAAACAUGAAAACCCAUAAUCAAUUACUAACAGUACAACAUCCCAGAAAACACACUCUGACUUCCUCUAAAUAGACAAUACCAGACCUGUCUACCACCUUCCUUGAGAAUAGACUAACACUAAAAAUAUGUCAAUAAAAACAAACAACGAUAAGGGAAGGGAGAAACUGGCAGGGAAAUUUUCGCCUCCUGUCAUUAAUAAAAUUAAGAUUAUAGUUACACUAAAGCUAGUAUAAUCUACAAUUUUAUAACAUGACAGAAGGUUUCAUAUUUGCUGUUUUAACGCUCCAACAGCAAAGCAAAAGAAGCAUAAUAUUAUAUAUUUUAAAAAUAAAUUGGCAAAAAGUAUGUUCUCGUGACCAGUAAGCUGAACGCAUGAUGUCUAGCAUGAUGACAAAGGAUCCUCCUUAUCUCCUUCCGAAUGGCUGCUAUCUUGGAUAGAGGCAGACGUAGGACACAUUCUUAUGCGUUGUUAAGACACCCUGAUUUGGACCAAAGAAAACUUUGAUAAUUUGUCUAUCUACACCUUCCAAAUUGAUUGAUUAAUGCGUGCACGCUUUCCCUAGAAGUAAUUCACACCGGAGACAAAGUUUCUGAUCAGUGAAAAACUCAGGAAUGCUUUAUUCCCCGGAGUGGGGGCUCCUUCUUAAAGCAAAAAUACGUCACAGUUUAAACAUACAGUAUACAUUCACCAAUUGGUUAACAGAGAAAGG